ACUUCUUUUACCCAUAUAUGGGUAUUGUAUACAACACCUAAAUUAUGGGUGAAAUAAACUGAUAAUAUCGGUAAUAUUUACUUAUAUUAUUAGUAAGUCGAGUUUACGCAAAUUUAGGUGAAUGCAUUUCACCCAUAUUUGGAUGAAAAACGGAACUUAACCGAUUCCGUCAGAAUCAAAUUGAUAACCAAACAAACCUGACGUCGAUUUGAAGGAAGAAUCCGCCACCUGCUUCCGAAGCUGCUGUUGUUUUAUUUAUUUUUACAUACCUCCUUUCGCUGUUAGUUUCGGUGCUACAAUUUCUUCCCGAUCGAGACUUGCUUUCCGAUUUUGCUGCUUUUGUUAGUUCAAAAGAACUUUGAGCAUGCUGCGGUUAAUAGUUAUUGCGGUUAAACGAUCGAAUCACUGCUGGAUAAUUAUAAAGAGGAGAGUCACGAAAAUCUGGAAUCCCGAUGUGAGCUGACGGUUCCGUAGUAGGCUGAUGUGAUGACCAUUCCAAGAGGCAACUGUAAAUAGAUACAGCGGAGUCAUCGAGGAAUCACGAGAGCAAACGUAAACGUUAGCGAGAAUGGAACUAAGAAUGAAUGCCAUUCCGAGAGCUGAUUUUCUUUGCCGCCAUUCGAUGCCAAAGUCCGGACCGUAGAUCUUCAUUUAAAAAAUCUCAGUACAUGUAGCAGCGGACCUUAUGUUUCGCACUUGGUUUCGCCGUACUUCUUCCAGAAUUCUUGCUGUCGUUCUGGAAAAACCUCCGACAACGAAUAGGGUAAUAAAAGCCGAUAGGUUCCUCUUGCGGUUAACGAUUAUCGACCCGAAGCUGCUGCUGAUCAUCCCAAGCGUCGCCAGUUCCGGUACCUCGCUAUUUAUUUUCCUGCCACCAGUACUGCUAACGUCGUUGUCAAACAUCCGACAACGAAUAGGUUAAUGAAAGCUAUAACUUGUAAAACGAUGAAUAGGCAGCAGACCUUUUGUUGCAACCCAUAAUAAAAACAAUAAUCCGCUUGA